GAUGAACGCUAGCUACAGGCUUAACACAUGCAAGUCGCGGGGCAGCAUGGGGGUUGCUUGCAAUCCCCGAUGGCGACCGGCGCACGGGUGAGUAACGCGUAUCCAACCUGCCCUUCACCACGGGAUAACCCGGCGAAAGUCGGACUAAUACCGUAUGUUGUCCAUUGACGGCAUCCGAUUUGGACGAAAGGCUUGGCGGUGAGGGAUGGGGAUGCGUCCGAUUAGCCAGACGGCGGGGUAACGGCCCACCGUGGCUACGAUCGGUAGGGGUUCUGAGAGGAAGGUCCCCCACACUGGAACUGAGACACGGUCCAGACUCCUACGGGAGGCAGCAGUGAGGAAGAUUGGUCAAUGGGCGUAAGCCUGAACCAGCCAAGUAGCGUGCAGGAUGACGGCCCUAUGGGUUGUAAACUGCUUUUAUGCGGGGAUAAAGUGGCCCACGUGUGGGCUUUUGCAGGUACCGCAUGAAUAAGGACCGGCUAAUUCCGUG
rnacentral:rRNA from 1 species